rnacentral:lncRNA from 1 species
UAACGAAUGUUGCCGUUGUUACAUUGUCAUAUGUGGUGACAGAGGUUACCAUGGUAUAAGUAAAUCCUAGUCAAUCAUCAUUAUUUAGGUUGUGGCACACGUGAACCGUGCAAUCCUAGGACAUGCGGUAGAGGGAAGCCUUGGAGGCUAUGGUGGUUGGAUGGUUGCAGCUACCACUAGCAUGUAGGCUAAGUACAAAAUGUGAUAGCACUAUGGGGGCAUCACCGGGCUCCCUCCCCUCCACUUCCAUUACUACAAUUGGGAUCCUUGUUAUUGAGGUGUUGAUGGAGUCAGUGUCAAUGGUGCCUGCACCAUCAUAAUUACAACCAAGUAAUAGAUAUGGAUCACCAUUUGGCAAGAAGUAGAUUUAUAAACUAAUUUCUCUGGUGCUCCUGUGAGAGAGUACUUAAUUAUGAUUGUUUUGUGAUGAUAAUAAACCAGUAUUUUUAGUUAAUUUGUAAUGAAUUAGGAUUCGGAUAGACUUAUAGUUGAUUCAUGAUGAUGAUGAUCUACUACUAUAUAUAAUAUUGAACUAAUGCAUUCCAUGUGGCGAUGAUAAAUUUUUAGUUUUUUUGUGAUGAUGAUGUAAAAUAUAGUUUGUUUGUGGUGAUGAUGAACCAGUUUAUGUGGAUGCAUGAUGAACUUGUUAUAUUUGCAAGUUUGAUCUUGUUAUGUUAUGCCACAACACAAAAUGGUGAAGUCAUUACAUCAAGUUGUUAUGAACGCCUACCAUAUACUCUAGCAUAUUCAUAUUGAAUCUAUAUAUAUGUGUUGUGUGUGCAAUUCAUUCAUUACAGAUACGGUGGUCUUGGCUUCAUCUUCUAUUAUAGUACUAUUUUUGCAAAUUAUGAG